rnacentral:rRNA from 1 species
ACACAUGCANUCGAGCGAUGACUAUCUAGCUUGCUAGAUAUGAUUAGUGGCGAACGGGUGAGUAAUGCUUAGGAAUCUGCCUAUUAGUGGGGGAUAACCAUCCGAAAGGAUGGCUAAUACCGCAUACGUCUUACGAGAGAAAGGGGGCUUUUAGCUCUCGCUAAUAGAUGAGCCUAAGUCGGAUUAGCUAGUUGGCGGGGUAAAGGCCUACCAAGGCGACGAUCUGUAGCUGGUCUGAGAGGAUGAUCAGCCACACUGGGACUGAGACACGGCCCAGACUCCUACGGGAGGCAACAGUGGGGAAUAUUGGACAAUGGGCGAAAGCCUGAUCCAGCCAUGCCGCGUGUGAGAAGAACGCCUUUUGGUUGUAAAGCACUUUAAGUAGGGAGGAAAAGCUUGUGGUUAAUACCCACAAGCCCUGACGUUACCUACAGAAGAAGCACCGGCUAACUCUGUGCCAGCAGCCGCGGUAAUACAGAGGGUGCAAGCGUUAAUCGGAAUUACUGGGCGUAAAGCGAGCGUAGGUGGUCAUUUAAGUCAGAUGUGAAAGCCCCGGGCUUAACCUGGGAACUGCAUCUGAUACUGGGUGACUAGAGUACGUGAGAGGGAAGUAGAAUUCCAGGUGUAGCGGUGAAAUGCGUAGAGAUCUGGAGGAAUACCGAUGGCGAAGGCCGCUUCCUGGCAUCAUACUGACACUGACGUUCGAAAGCGUGGGUAGCAAACAGGAUUAGAUACCCUGGUAGUCCACGCCGUAAACGAUGUCUACCAGUCGUUGGGUCUUUUAAAGACUUAGUGACGCAGUUAACGCAAUAAGUAGACCGCCUGGGGAGUACGGACGCAAGGUUAAAACUCAAAUGAAUUGACGGGGGCCCGCACAAGCGGUGGAACAUGUGGUUUAAUUCGAUGCAACGCGAAGAACCUUACCUGGUCUUGACAUACUACGAAUCCUGCAGAGAUGCGGGAGUGCCUUCGGGAAUCUACAUACAGGUGCUGCAUGGCUGUCGUCAGCUCGUGUCGUGAGAUGUUGGGUUAAGUCCCGCAACGAGCGCAACCCUUUUCCUUAGUUACCAGCGACUCGGUCGGGAACUCUAAGGAUACUGCCAGUGACAAACUGGAGGAAGGCGGGGACAACAUCAAGUCAUCAUGGCCCUUACGACCAGGGCUACACACGUGCUACAAUGGUUGGUACAAAGGGUUGCUACACAGCGAUGUGAUGCUAAUCUCACAAAGCCAAUCGUACUCCGGAUUAGAGUCUGCAACUCGACUCUAUGAAGUCGGAAUCGCUAGUAAUCGCAGAUCACGAAUGCUGCGGUGAAUACGUUCUCGGGCCUUGUACACACCGCCCGUCACCCCAUGGGAGUUGAUCUCACCAGAAGUGGGAGCCAACCAAGAGGGCGCC